rnacentral:tRNA from 1 species
GUGUCUAUAGCUCAGUGGUAGAGUGCAUGCUCAGCAUGAAUGAGGUUUGGGUUCAAUCCCCAGUACUUCCA